rnacentral:lncRNA from 1 species
AAGGCAGAACAACAUGACUGAAGGCGAUGAGGAACAGCUGAUCACCUGUGGAAGUCAUUUGUCCUAAAUUGUCAUGGACAGACCAUGUGCCUUACAGCAAGAAAAUUCUGUGAAUAAACAGGAAGCCAGCCAGCCAGGGAAGAUGCUUUUGUGAUAUAUCCCAGCAUGCUGAUGACCCCAAGGAGGACCACUGGAUACCUAGCAAGAUUCUCAGCCUGAUUAGACCUCUAUUUUGAUACAUUCAUUCAACAUAUUUAUCAACUGCUUGCUAUGUGAAAAAUGCUAUCCUAAGUACUAGUCAUGGUCUGAUUGGACUCUGCAACUGAUAACUCAAGCGCUAUUGUGUAAGGAUACCAGAUUUAGAUGAGACUGUCAGCAGCCCUCUGGGUCCUCACUGCUCGCAGUGUCCACAGGCAGCAGCAGCAGAAUCUGGGAGUUUAUUAGAUAUGUAGGAUGGCAGAUCC